AUAUUUUGAUAUUAAUAUUUUAAUUAUUAUUAUUCGACCACUAACAUUAUUGAUUUAUAAUAAUUUAACUAUUUUAUUUUAAUUUAAUUAUUUUAAGUGACCUAUUAUAUGCUAACUUGAAUGCCAUGUUUUUUUUUUUUAACUUUUUAUUGUAGGCCUCACCACUUAUGUAUUUAUUUAUUUUCCUUUUUACCCUCAAUCUCACGUCCUACUCAUUUAUUUCUUUAUAUUUUUUCCUUUUUUUCUUUUCACUUUCUUUCGUUUUUUUCUACCUUUCCAUCUUCAUCUUCAUUAGCCUACCUACCAACCGCCACCGCAGCCGCCGCCGCCCUACUCCAAUGGCCUUUCCGACCGGAAAGAAGGACUAAAAUGAAGCAUGUCCCCUAGUUCUCCAUGAAACGGCCCCGAAUUCCACAAAUUUAAAUCCGAAGUUUGAAUGAGAAACCUCUUAAAUCUCCUAAAUCUGUUGUCCAAUCGACCCAAUAGGGAAGUAUGUUCUUCUCUCCCAUGUAACCUCUCAUUCCACCGUUUAGAUUUCGAAUACAUCACCUCUAAACUCGUUAACCGAGCUUGGCCGGAUCUGCGACUUGUUCUUUUCCUUCUCUUUUUGGUUUUGAUAUUUAAUUCUCUUUACUGCAUGGUUUAUUGGUGAUUUUCUAUUUGGGAUUUGGUAGAGAGGCUAGGUAGUGUCGACGAUGACGGGGGAAUAGGUAUGAGAGAGGGAUGGUGAGUGGGGACUUUGGGUGAGGUAAAGGUUCUAUUUGGGGAGGUGAGUUGUAGAAGUGUGGAAGCUAAGAGAGAAGAGAUGGUGAAGGUGCGAUGAUUCAGUGGUGAUGGGGGAGGCGGUGGCCAAUGGUGAGCUUGAUGGUGGUUGUAGGUUCUGGGUAUAGGGCUGAGAGUUGAGGGAGUAGGGAGGUUGAGGAGGGUGAAGAGAAGAGAGAGAAGAGCCAUUUGAUGGUGGGGCUUAGGUCGGUGCCGAGGACAACAUCUGAGUGGGCGAUGAAGACAGCUAUUUGUAGAAGUUAGGGUUUCGCCAAGGGAGAUGAGAAGGAAGGAAAAGAACAAAAAAGGAAAAAAAGUAGGGGAAAUGUUGAAAUAAAGAAAAAAAGGUUAAUUUUUUUUAAAAUAGGGUUAAAAUUAUGUGGUGCUGACAUGGCUUUUAAGUUGGCGUUUAACUGUUGACACAUUGUCACAUGUGAUUUUCUUUAGGCCUACUAAAUUGUUAAUUUAGAAAUUAUUAAUCACAUUAAUGAUCAAAAUAUAAAUUUAAAUAAAUAUAAUGGACUAUUUUUAUAAUUUAUUCAAAAAAAAAUUAAUCCAAGCUAAUAUAUUGGCUCACAUUAAGGCUCACUUGCACUUAGAAUUGUUUUCAGAACUGAAUUUUUCCUGCCUAUUUCUCCCACCACCGGCC
rnacentral:lncRNA from 1 species